AUCAGUCAAGAUCAUUCGCACAUAUAUAAGAAAUAUGGAUUCUAUAAUAACACAUUUAAAACACAUGUUCGGACACUUUGAGUCAAAAUGGAUCGCACUUACGAAUUUUCCCAACUGGACCGCAGUACCGGCAUUAAUUGGAACGAUUACGCUAACAUUAUUGGUAUUAAAAAAAGUUGCACUAUAACGUAGCAAUAUUCCGAGAGGCAAUGACAAGUGAAAUGUUACAAAUACCACAAAAAAGAUGACAAUGAACUUUAUCGUCUGAAUACAAUUUUAAGAGACUCCGACACGUCGUCGGCGACAACCAUGAAAAAUAUGUGAUGAUUUGGUAUUUUGUUUCAUUAACAUUUGGAAAUGCAAAAAUAAAAAUUCUAGAAAAAAUUCCAA